GUUGUCUCUAUGCCAAGGAUCAGCCUGAGGUAUAAACUUAUGGUCUUCACAGAUGUUUUCUGAGCCUGAACCUUUCCCUGGGUGUGUGGUCACUCCCUAAUUUUACCUAUAUAUGCAGUUAUUCUUGAAUAUUUUAUCCUUUAAUGUCUGGCUCCCAAAAGGGGAAAAAGAGAAAAAUUGAGGGAGGGUGAAAAAAGGGCACCAUCCCUUUAAACUUUCUGGAAGUUGCUUCAGCUUAGGGUGAGGAGCUUGCUACAAUGGGGGAAGGUACAGCAGUAGCUGCCAGCCUCUUUGUCUCUGUGCUGCAAUCAGACAUUAGAGAACAGAGCCCCAAUGUGUGUGUGUGUGUGUGUGUGUGUGUGUGUGUGUGUGUGUGUGUGUGUGUGUGUUUUGAGAUGGAGUCUUUCUCUGUCACCCAGGCUAGAGUGCAGUGGCAUGAUCUCAGCUCACUGCAGCCUCCGCCUCCUGGGUCAAGUGAUUCUUGUGCCCCAGCCUCCUGAGUGGCUGGGAUUAUAGGUGCCUGCCACCACACCUGACUAAUUUUAGUAGAGACAGAGUUUUACCAUGUGGGCCUGGCUGGUCUUGAACUCCUGACCUCAAGUAAUCCACCCACCUCGGUCUCCCAAAGUGCUAGGAUUACAGGCAUGAGCUACUGCACCUGGCCCAGACCCCCAGUGUUUGGAGACAGCAUUCUUUUUGCCCAUUCUGGAUCCUGAAAGAUGUGUGCAGCUUACUGUAGGAACACAAGCUGACUGCCUUGGGGGUAGUGUUGGGUAGCUGCUAUUGUGCUAAGGGCCGAAAUUGACUGAAAUUACCUACAAUUUACCAUCUGGGCCUUCCUCUGGAAGUUGCAAGCCUUCAGUAGGCUCCAGAGUUCUGAAAUAUUUACAUCUGACAGAUCCUGCCCAUGCAGUUGUUGUGUAGAUUCCAGGUGCUUCUCAUUCCACCAUCUUCCCAGGAUACCCUCUGACCUUCUGGAUUUUGAAUUCAGUCAAGCUGUUCUCUAACAGCUGGGGUGAAAGCCAACAAAGAUCCUGCUAAGAAAGCUCCCUGGAAAAAAAAUGUUCAAAAGUAACACAAAUAUCAAACUGGAAAGAAAUUGAUUUAGGAACCGAACCCAGGUUGUCAUGGUGAAAAAAGGAGCAGAACCUUAGCUACCGAACUGCAGCCUGGGGUAUGAGGUGACUACCAUCACUUUUUUAGUUUGGUUUGGCUAGCAAAGGUGGCCUUGUUAUACAAAUAAAGCCACUCAGGUAGUCAAAACCUUUAUUUUCUGUUUUUUUUCUCUCUCUUUUUUUUUCUUUUUGAGAAGGAGUCUUGCUCUGUCACCCAGGCUGGAAUGCAGUGGCGCAAUCACGGCUCACUGCAAGCUCUGCCUCCCAGGUUCAUGCCAUUCUCCUGCCUCAGCCUCCCAAGUAGCUGGGACUACAGGCACCCGCCACCACGCCUGGCUAAUUUUUUGUAUUUUCAGUAGAGACGACGUUUCACCGUGUUAGCCAGGAUGGUCUCGAUCUCCUGACCUCAUGAUCCACCUGCCUCGGCCUCCCAAAGUGUUGGGAUUACAGGCAUGAGCCACCGUGCCUGGCCCUAUGCCUGGCUAAUUUUUAAAAAUUUUUUGUAGAAGCAGGGUUUCGCCGUGCUCCCCAGGUUGGUCUCAAACUCCUGAGCUCAAGUGCUCCAACCACCUUGGUCUCCCAAAGUGGUGGGAUUACAGGUGUCAACCACUGCACCUAGCCUCUAAAUCCAUAUAAAUCAAUUAUUCACGCACUGAGCAGAAUAUUCAGGAUUUUUUUUCUUAUAAUAUAAAUGAUGUGGAAAACUGGAGAACCAAAGAAGAACACCAAGACUAUCUAAAAGUGUUAAAUUUUUCAUUAGAAAGAAAAUGACUUCAUGACAGUUCUUAAGACAAUGAUAGAACUUGGGGAAAUAUGUAUUCCUUGAUGUUUCUAUGCAUUUGCAAUAAUAAACAAUGAAAAUAUGGUUAAAUUUUAGAAAGAGAUAGGCCUGUGGUAUUGUCACAAGGGUAUACAAAUACUCAGAAUGACUGCUGAGGCAGUGCUCUCCAUUGGUGGUGACCUUCAGAAGAGACCUGUGUUUCCACAUGGCCUAGACACCUGGAAGGCAGAGAUCCUAACAUUCCAUGACACCCCCACCUUCUAAUUCUGUUAUUGUGACUCCAGACCAUUACCUGGCACCGGGUCUGAUUUCUGGCAUUCCUAUCAGAGCCUGAGUCACAGACAGUACCUUAGACUCUAAGCUUAGGCACCUUGUGCCUUGUUUUUGUGGCUAAGGAUUCUCAGAGUUGUAGGAUGCUGACAAAGUUUAUCCCAAAGGUAAUUUAUGAAUCAGAUCUGCUUUCUUUUGACUUGUUUAAACCCUUCAUUUAAUGUAAAGAAACUUUAUUGAGGUAUAAUUUACAUACUAUAAAAUUUACCCAUUAUAAUUGUACAGUUCAAUAAUUUUUAGUAAUUUACCCAAGUAGUGCAACCAUUACCACAAUCCAUGCAUUUGUUUUUAAUUUAUUAAUUGUCUGGGUUUAUUCUCCCUAGGCUCUGAUUGUACUUUCUCCACAAGCUUCAGCAUGGCAGUAUCUCUCACCACUUGUUUUGGUCCAAGGGCAGAAAUGAGCAUCCUGGAAACCAAUCAGUACUUGCUCUCUGAACUGGAAAAGUGCAAAGAGAACUUCCGAGACCUCACAGAGAAAUUCCUGACAUCCAAAGCUACUGCCUACUCCCUGGCCAAUCACCUGCAGAAAUAUAGAUACAUGAUCCCUUAAUUCAGGCUCAGGCUGAAGAACUGACCCACUUACGACAGAAGAUACAAGAAGGGAGAGGUGUCUGCUACCUUUUCACCCAGCAUGUGAAGAACACAGUCAAGUCUUUUGAGGGCCUUCUCAGGAACACUGGCAUUGCCUACUACCAGAGACAGAGAUUCUGUGAGCAAAUGGUACAAGGAAGCCAGCUAACAGAGAUCCUUGUCAGAAAACUUGCCACAGGUAAGUUGGCUACAGGCUCUGAAGACCCUUAGCUCCUCCCAAGUGCCCCAAAGUGGGGAGAAAAAAUGCAAAGUUAUCUCCAUUGUAGAUUUUAUUUUAGUUUUGACUAUGGUCCUUAAUCUGCAUUCUAUUGUUUUCUCUUUAGAGCACUCAGGUAAUCACUUUUCAUAUUCUAGUCUGCUCUCUAACCCGAGCUAGAGUGCAGUGACGCGAUCUUGGCUGACUGCAGUCUGUGCCUCCUGGGCUCAAGCAGUCAUCCCACCUCAGCCUCCCAAGUAGCUGGGACUACAGGUGUGUGCCACCACACCUGGCUAAUUUUCAUAUUUUUUGUAGAGACAGGGUUUCUCCAUGUUGCCCAGGCUGGUCUUGAACUACUGAGCUCAAGUGACCCAUCUGCUGUGGCCUCCCAAAGUUCUGGGAUUACAGAUAUGAGCCACUGUGCCUGGCCUGAGAGUUCUUAGUUUCAAUCAGUAAGAGAGGUAGAGUAUAGUGGAUUACUUCAUCUUGAUGAGCAUAAGAACUCACCUUCAUUUCUGGAAGAUAUUUUCACUGGAUGUAGGAUUCUAGUUGACAGUUUGUGUUUUUAAAAAGUGUUUGAAAAGUGAUAUUCCACUGUCUUCUGGCUUACAUUGUUUCCAACAAGAAGUCUUCCAUAAUUCUUAUUUUUGUUCCUCUGUACAUAAUAUGUCUUUUUCUCUGGCCGCUUUUGAGAUUUUCUGUUUAUCACUGGUUUGAAGCAGUUUGAUUAAGGUAAGACCAUGUAUAGUUUUAUCUUUU
rnacentral:lncRNA from 10 species